UGCAAACGUCCCAAACUUCCGGAGGCUGCACCUCAGAGUGCGGGUGGGUUGAAGUUUCUCCUGGCACCGUUUCUCACCUAGCUGCGUCAACAGGAAUUUGAGUCUUGCUCAUCUCAAUUAGCCUGAGUUUGCUGGCCCUGACAGAAGGCCACUGUAAGGACUUCGCCUUUUAAAUUUUGAUACGCCCUUCACUAAAAGGCAAAAUCAAGACUCAUCAAAAUUUAGCAGCUGAGAAUCUCUACUGAAGACAAUCAGAAAUAUUUGGGAAGAUUUAUUUCAACAUCUGAAGCAGCGAAGAAUAUUUGCCUUCAUAGACUCUAGCAAUGAUUUUGAAUGAACCUGCACAUGCCACAUUUUAACCUGUUAAUGAGGAUCAUGUGGGUGAAAUAAGACUUUUCUUGUCUUAUUAAUUCAAAUGCCAAACUAGGCACACUGACAGUUUGCUUAUUAAACUGACUCCAGACUCACUGUGCACAGAGAUCUAUGGACUACACUUUGUUUACUUUACAAGAAUCUUGUUUUUGUUUAAAAAUUUCUUACUGAGAUGUUUAUUUAAACUGAAUUUCCACAGUGAGAAAAAAGAUUGUUAAACAGAAUUCUGCACUUUACAUGAAAAACACCUUGUAAAUAUGGAUUAUCCUUCCAUAUAUUAACUAUGUUAAUAAACUCACAUUGCUAAAUAUGUAAUUAAUACAUGAUCAAAUAUCCUGGAAUGUCCCCUCUUCUAUCUGAUUAUAUGAACCUAAUCAACUUUCUAUGAUUAAUGUAAAUCCAACUUCAUUUCUGAAUUCACACACCCCAUUUCAGCCUGGGCGAAUCUCUCCCUACCCCAAACUCAUAAUCAUUAUGAUCUUAUCUAGGAGUCUUAAUCAAUAAGUCACAAUAUGCUGAUUCAUAAUUAUUACUUUGAAGUGU